UUUUUAGCAGCUCUCCAUGAUGUGUCUGAAGAUUGUUAGGGUCGUGACCCAGACGGCCCUCUGCAUUCUGCUACCAGUGCUGGCUCGUAUCAUGGGGGUGAACCUGAGGAGUGGGGCAACCUCCCCAGAAUCCCAGUGCUCUCUGACAGGGUAUAAGGACUCCUUAGACAGUCUGGAUGAGCGGGAGAAAAGGCUGCUGAUCAGUGAGAUGAACUACUGGACCAAGGAAAGGAGGAAUGGCAGGGCAGGGUGCUGCCAAAAAUCUGUUGGCAGAACCAAACCACCAUGCUACUCUCCUAAGAGCGUUCCAAGAGAGGAAACAAAAUGACAGCCAUUCAGUCCAGGACCAGACUGAGAUUCCCUCUACUGCAUAGCCCCCCACAUUGGGGCUCAGGGUGCUGAAUCUCCAGUUGGAGAGGUUUCUCGGUUCAUCUCUCAGCCUAUCAAAAACCGCUCCUUGAUAAUCAGGGUCUUCUCAGCAAUGAUGAAGCCGUU